rnacentral:misc_RNA from 1 species
GGCCCAUUCCCCACAUGGCAUUCUACUCUUGUUAACUGGAAUUUGAAUCUUCAUCAUUGUUAGCUGAUUUGGUGUGCAAUAAAAGUAUGAUUUCAUCUACAUACGGAUUUGAUUUGUUUAUCAUUGAAGAUAUCAUUAACGGAUAUAAUUAUAGUACACUUAAUUAAGGAAAUCAUCACCUUGGACACCUUCACCUCAUACACUAAACAAAUGCAGAAUUCACCCAAUAUUUUCA